rnacentral:lncRNA from 1 species
CUUUGUGUUUGUUGCCAGCUGCAGGAAAAGCGUGUGUGUAUCAUGGGUGUUUGAAGGCCUGAAUUUUCGUUAUUUCAAGGGCUUCUACUGUGUUAGUAUGGAAAAAGGAUGAUGAUCAUGACGCUGAUAACAGGACGACGGAUCCUUUCAUAGGAAGGAUACAAAGGCAUAGUGUAGAAGAGUGUUGUCUUUGGCUUUCAGGUGACUGAGUCUACCCUGACAUUGUUUUUGCCUUUGAACAAACUCUGCCUUGGCUGGAGUAAAAAAAAGCAGUCUAGAAAAUAUGAAUACUGCCCUCUGUUGAUGAGUAAGAUCAGUUUGCUAAUGAUGAGUAAAAUUAUUGGACCUCCUUGGAGCUGCUGAAUUUUUGGGAGGUUUCGCACAUGAACGCGUACGGUUAGUGUGACGGAUACGUCAUCAUUUUGACGUCAUACACCACCAGCCAGCCACUAAACGUGUGGAUGACACGCAUAUCUCGCUCUCUACACGUAAGUGAAAAAUGCGUAGGGAAAUUAUUGAUUUCUAGUAAGAUCUUCAUUUAUUUUUUCACAUUUUACGUAAGUGUAAAAAAUAAAUGCAUCUUUGAAUACGUACUGUACGUGCCAUUUUUGUGACAUUUGAAGACAGAAAAUUAUGAUAGGAUGCGUCUCAUUUUGGGGUAUCAAAACAUUGGUGCUUUGACCUUGGUGGUGUCGGGAUUUUGUGCAGGCCUAGGCCUACUUAUAGCCAGGCAUUUUUGGGUCAUAAACAAUAAUAACCAACAUUUUUGGACAACAAAGGAAGUAUUUUUCGGCUACAAUUUUCAAUUUCAAUUUCCAACAAAACCUUAUAUACUAAUGAAACUUUGAGAAGCAUGAU